CAGUGGGAGCCGGGCCUGCUGAGGCCUGACCCCUGCGAGCGGGUCUGCAGACGCCCGGCCCCCUCCCUGCCCACCUGUCGGGGUCAGCAGUGCCAGUGGGCGGAGGGCGGCUCAGCCACACUGUAAGUUCUGGGCGGAGCUGUCGGUGAGAAGUUUCUUCCGUGAAGGGGCGGGUCUUCCCUGGGAGGAUCCCGUGCUCUGUCCCGCUGGCUCUGGCGAGGUGCCCAGGACAAGAAUGUGACCACUGGGGCCGCAGGAGCUGGGGGGGGGGGGGGGUGGAGUGACGAUGACAGCACAGCCAGCAGGGGGCUGUGGUCCCAAGCCCUCCCUGCACAUAGAGGCACACCCGCUCUGGUCGACCCAUGCCUGUUUCUGGAGCUUUCCACCGAGGAAGGAAGCCAGCACACCUGGGCUUAAUCGCCGGGAGAGGAGACUCAUGGCCCCCGCAGGGCUCCCGUGCAGGACCGGUGAGUGGGCCCCAGGGUCGCUGGGGGAGAACACCAAGCAGGCACAGUGAAGUCCUCUGAUUUUAAUCAAACACAGCGAGCCACAUCCCUUGACCAGGGUCACUCAGAAGGGGGGUCUCCUCUCUCCCUAGGAAGGAGCACAGAGUCCCCCCCCGCCCCGCACGCAGGUCCUUUCCGCAUAGUGAGCACAGAAGCCACGUUCCCCGACAGUGCAUGUCACAUAGAGCCUGAAAUGUGCCCACCAGGAGAAAUAUUUAUACAUGAUCAAGGAAAUGUCACAGAAAAAUCUGUUCAAUUGCAGAAAACGGCUCCAUCCUUGGCCCUGACCCCAGACGGCAGGAGGUGGACGGGCCCAGAGUAACGAAGCCAUUAGGGUCUCCAUCCUGCUCACUGGACAUGUGAUGCCUCCUUCCCUGCUCUGAAGGCCUGUCCUCAGGGGACACGCUUCCUCCCAUCUGGAUGGCGUCCCUGCCAAGCAAUGGAAGAGAGACCCGGUUUGGGAGAUGUGACCCCAAUCCUGAUGUGCCCCCGUCCCGGAAGACGGGCACGUGGGCCCUGGCCUGCCUCAGCAGCCCUGCUGAGGACCGAGCACAGACCGGGCGGGCGUCCUCUGGAGGCACCUGCCAGUUGGAAGGCACGUCACCUCCGUAAGCCCGUCGCCUGGUCCCAUCGUGAGACAACCAUCCCACAAAUCCCAGCUGGGGGCCGUUCUCCAAAACACACCGGCACGCCUCACACUGUCCGGGUCAUGAAGACCCGGGAAAGUCGGAGAAACCGUCACAGCCAAGAUAAGCCCGCAGAGACGGGAUGCCCAAACAUCAUGUGGUUCCUGGACGAGAUCCUGGGACGGAGAAAGGAAGGGGGGCGGGAAUGAGGCGGCGUAACCAAGCGUGGACUUCAGUUACUACUGGCUCCUUGACUGGCACGACUGGAAGGCGUUAAUAAUCUCAGCAGCCGUGUUUGGGGUGCGUGGGGACCAUCUGCACCGUCUCUGCAAAAAAUUCCGUAAAUCCAAAUCCAUUCUGAAAUUGGAAGUUGGUUCAAAAUUACGUGAGUGUCAACAGGGUGGCCGUUGGGGUUGUGGAAUCAGAAGUGCAAGCCACGACCUUCAUCAUGACCUUCGUCACCUCCAGCGUGGAGUUGGACCCGGGCCUGGCGGGGCGGCUCACUCCCCAGGCGGUUGAGACGCGCCCACCGCGUUCUGUUCCUAUGUCAGGUUAUGUUUUGUUCACUUCCGCCCCAGAUUAAGUCUCGUGCGAUGGCCGGAGAGAGUAAAACACGGGACCCAGUGCGGACAGUUUCUCUUCCAUUCCUCUGGCCACAGGGCGUGCUGUCGCCCUCCCCAGAGGCGGUCUGGACACGAGCACGUUAGCACCUCUGCCACGUGUACCUACGUGGGCACCCACGGUAACACCCUCUACACAUUACAUACGCAUCUCGAGGGUUCUUCCGCAUCGUUACGGCCGCCGCGCCCUCGCCGGGGAGAGACUGCAGGGUCCCCAUCGCGCAGAUGGCCCACAAUGCAGGUGGUUCCUUAUCAACAGACGUUUAUUUCAGCCUUUUGUUACGACAAAUAAGCCUACAAUGAAUGUCCUUGCACAGACGUCCUUGUGCACAUUACAGCGGUAUUUUUAAUGCAUGCUUCGGAUGCUCCGAGAAUAUUGCCCAAUAAUUUACUUAAUGGAUCCCUAUUUUUAAACGUUUAGAUUGUCUCCAAUUUUUCCACCAUUAUAAACAACACUGCUAUGAUCAUAAAUCUUGGCACAUACCUCUGAUUACUUCCCUGGGAUGAAUUUCUAGAAGAAAGUGCUGGGUAAAUACAUUUCAGCCUUAAAGCUGCUUCAAGCCCAUUUUGCAAGGGCUGAGUCAGGGCC
ensembl:lncRNA